CUUGGUCAUUUAGAGGAAGUAAAAGUCGUAACAAGGUUUCCGUAGGUGAACCUGCGGAAGGAUCAUUAGUGAAUUGCUCUSUGAGCGUUAAACUAUAUCCAUCUACACCUGUGAACUGUUCUUGGUCAUUUAGAGGAAGUAAAAGUYGUAACAAGGUUUCCGUAGGUGAACCUGCGGAGGAUCAUUAUGGUUUUUUUUUUCCAUCAAAAAAAAUAUUUGCGUAAUUUUUAGCAUUAAAACUUUUGGCAAUGGAUCUCUUGGUUCUGGCAACGAUGAAGAACGCAGCAAAAUGCGAUAACUAGUGUGAAUUGCAUAUUUUAGUGAAUCAUCAAGUUUUUGAACGCACAUGGCGCUCUUUGGCAUUCCAGGGAGCAUGUCUGUCCAAGCGCAAUUACAAACAUAUGAGUAUUCAGUUUUGCGGGCGCUGCAUCUGCACCCUGCUAAAUGUGUGAAGCGAGAUUGGCAAGCAGCCGCAGUCAUGGAAUUUUCCGAUUGCAGCAGCAAACAAUAUGCCUUGGAUCARACAGGAGGACCCACUGAACUUAAGCAUAUCAAUAAGCGGAGGAAAYKUUUCKCUGGUGUCKGCUUGAGAAGUACGCUUCUAAUCGUCUUCGGACAAUUCUUGAACUCUGGUCUCAAAUCASGUAGGGCUACCCGCUGAACUUAAGCAUAUCAAUAAGCGGAGGA
rnacentral:rRNA from 1 species